UGUAACGGGGCUAAACCAUGCACCGAAGCUGCGGCAGCGAACGUAUCACUUAAAGCGAUUCAGCGGGUUACGAUUGACGGAGCGAAGCGACGUCAAAGCGUAUACAAAGUCGAGUCGGUUUAAGGAUACGUUCGUUGGGUAGGGGAGCGUUCUGUAAGCCUGUGAAGGUGGCCUGUGAGGGUUGCUGGAGGUAUCAGAAGUGCGAAUGCUGA
rnacentral:rRNA from 1 species